rnacentral:rRNA from 1 species
UGGGGAAUAUUGCACAAUGGGCGAAAGCCUGAUGCAGCGACGCCGCGUGAGGGAUGACGGCCUUCGGGUUGUAAACCUCUUUCAGUAGGGAAGAAGCGAAAGUGACGGUACCUGCAGAAGAAGCACCGGCUAACUACGUG